UACGUAGGGUGCGAGCGUUGUCCGGAUUUAUUGGGCGUAAAGAGCUUGUAGGCGGCUCGUCGCGUCGGGUGUGAAAACUUGCGGCUUAACCGCAAGCCUGCACCCGAUACGGGCGGGCUAGAGUUCGGCAGGGGAGACUGGAAUUCCUGGUGUAGCGGUGGAAUGCGCAGAUAUCAGGAGGAACACCGGUGGCGAAGGCGGGUCUCUGGGCCAUUACUGACGCUGAGGAGCGAAAGCGUGGGGAGCGAACAGG
rnacentral:rRNA from 1 species